CGGGACACUCCCCAGGGCCAUCUGGGGCUGCCCAGGCACUACAGCCAGCAGAAGACACUACCAGCGUCCCUGAUGUUUGGUCAUUUUCAAUGCCAAUAACUAAGCUACAAUGGUUCUCCCACACCUGGAAGCUAAUGAGUAAUGAGCACCUUUAAGGCUUAUUUCAAAUGUAAAAUCCUUGAGAUAAUGUACUAAAUUGUUCAGAAGGUUGUUUUCUUAGUGGAAUGCUACAGGAUUUUCUUUAGCAUCUUUGCAAGAGUUCCUGCCUUCGUCCCA
rnacentral:lncRNA from 1 species